rnacentral:rRNA from 1 species
GAUGAACGCUGGCGGCGUGCUUAACACAUGCAAGUCGAACGGGAAAUAUUUCAUUGAGACUUCGGUGGAUUUGAUCUAUUUCUAGUGGCGGACGGGUGAGUAACGCGUGGGUAACCUGCCUUAUACAGGGGGAUAACAGUCAGAAAUGGCUGCUAAUACCGCAUAAGCGCACAGAGCUGCAUGGCUCAGUGUGAAAAACUCCGGUGGUAUAAGAUGGACCCGCGUUGGAUUAGCUAGUUGGUGGGGUAACGGCCCACCAAGGCGACGAUCCAUAGCCGGCCUGAGAGGGUGAACGGCCACAUUGGGACUGAGACACGGCCCAGACUCCUACGGGAGGCAGCAGUGGGGAAUAUUGCACAAUGGGGGAAACCCUGAUGCAGCGACGCCGCGUGAAGGAAGAAGUAUCUCGGUAUGUAAACUUCUAUCAGCAGGGAAGAUAG